UUUUCUUUUCAAAUGCUUUGUGGCUGGUGGCCACAUUAUUCCUUCAAGCCAUUGGAAACGCUGUCACCAUUACAAUCCCGAAGAUAUACCCCAAUGGUACCAUUGACGCAACAAAGACCUACUCAUUAGACCCUGUUGGGCUAAUGUUUCUAUUGACUUUUGCUUGUCUUCUAGUGGUGCAAUUUGUUGCCAUGCUAUAUCACAGAAUUUAUACCUUGAUCCAUUACGUGGCCUAUAUUGAGACUGAGAGCAAAGCUGGACAUAAGUUGCGUAAACAACAAUCCUCAAUGGAUGAGGUCAAUGAAAAUGAUAAACAGGUCCCUGACUUCCAAGUAUCACGUCUUUUGAAAAGCGGCCAGGAAGGGACAUGCUUCCAGAACCCAACAGCAGUGGAACUAUCAGUAACGCUGGUUUGAGAAGGGAAUGAAGGGGAAACACUGUGACAAAGAUGGAGGAAGUGUCUGAUUUACCAGUCAAGUUUACUCUUAACGUAUGCAAGUCAUGCAUAUCAUUUUGAAUAUGAAAGAAAGGUAUCUAGUAUCUAGCUAUAGUACUCACAUCACUGUACUUUUAACGUAUUGAUGCCACAAAGGCUAUUCAAUAAUUAUUUGUGUGACUGAAUGUGAUUGAAUUCUGAUGGGCUUUCACAGCUUAAUGUGUGUAGUUAAUGUGUGUAGUUUGUUAGUUAUAUAUCUAUGUUUAUUGUGUGUAUUUGUGAUUAUUUAAUGCAGCUGACCAUUUUAUGAGUAAAGAAGAGCAAUGAAAUGUAAAACAGUGAGCAAACCAUUCAUAU